CUCCGCGCCGGCGUUGCCCGUGCACCCUCCGCGCCGGUGAUCUCCACCUGGCAGUGAAGAGCACCUCAAAACACAUCUAAGGGGAUGAGCAGGAGACGUCGGACAUAUUUGGGGCACGUCCAGACCGAAGCAGCCUUUGGAGCGCAUGGCUGGGGGAGGUUUAGUGUCCGGCGUGCCCCAAUUCCCUUUGGUGGACCUUUGGGUCGCGACUGGAGAUGCUCUUACUGUGGCUAUACCUAAGAGCUCCCUCAAAAUCCCAAAGGUUGCUGAUCGCUAGCUCCAGCUCCAGCACGAUUCCUAGCUCUCCGCCGCAGGUUCUGGGAAGGUGGGAUCCCUGGCGGUCGAUGUACCUAGGAGGAGACACUAUCUUCUGGAACAGUAGUGGACUCACAUGAUGCCACAUGCGCCACUGGACAAUUUUAUUGCAACUUCAUCUUUAAUUGUUGAAGUGGAUAUUGUUUUUAAAACAUCAGAGGCUUUGUUUGAUACAAAUACUGAAGUUGGCAUGCCUAAACUUGUUAUCUGAGCAGUCAUGUUCUUCAAUCUAUGGCUAUACUUAUGUUCUGCAGUUUUCUCAAAUUAGCGAGAUACUUGUAAUUUGAAGUUAGAACCGAUCA